rnacentral:rRNA from 1 species
UUGAACGCUGGCGGAAUGCUUUACACAUGCAAGUCGAGCGGCAGCGCGGGGGCAACCCUGGCGGCGAGCGGCGGACGGGUGAGUAAUGCAUCGGAACGUACCUAGUCGUGGGGGAUAACUAUCCGAAAGUUGUGCUAAUACCGCAUACGCCCCGAGGGGGAAAGCAGGGGAUCGCAAGACCUUGCGUUAUUCGAGCGGCCGACGUCUGAUUAGCUAGUUGGUGGGGUAAAGGCCUACCAAGGCGACGAUCAGUAGCGGGUCUGAGAGGAUGAUCCGCCACACUGGAACUGAGACACGGUCCAGACUCCUACGGGAGGCAGCAGUGGGGAAUUUUGGACAAUGGGGGCAACCCUGAUCCAGCCAUUCCGCGUGAGUGAAGAAGGCCUUCGGGUUGUAAAGCUCUUUCAGCUGGAACGAAACGGUAGUCUCUAACAUAGGCUGCUAAUGACGGUACCAGCAGAAGAAGCACCGGCUAACUACGU